GACGAACGCUGGCGGCGUGCUUAACACAUGCAAGUCGAACGGAAAGGCCCUGCUUUUGUGGGGUGCUCGAGUGGCGAACGGGUGAGUAACACGUGAGUAACCUGCCCUUGACUUUGGGAUAACUUCAGGAAACUGGGGCUAAUACCGGAUAGGAGCUCCUGCUGCAUGGUGGGGGUUGGAUAGUUUCGGCGGUUGGGGAUGGACUCGCGGCUUAUCAGCUUGUUGGUGGGGUAGUGGCUUACCAAGGCUUUGACGGGUAGCCGGCCUGAGAGGGUGACCGGCCACAUUGGGACUGAGAUACGACACAGACUCCUACGGGAGGCAGCAGUGGGGAAUAGUGCACAAUGGGCGGAAGCCUGAUGCAGCAACGCAGCGUGCGGGAUGACGGCCUUCGGGUUGUAAACCGCUUUCGCCUGUGACGAAGCGUGAGUGACGGUAAUGGGUAAAGAAGCACCGGCUAACUACGUG
rnacentral:rRNA from 1 species